AGGGGAGGGUGAGGCGAACGGUAUUCAAAUGGUCACUGCAAUUUCACUGCUAGAUUCCACUAAAUCCUACAUACUGGACCUUUAAGUAAUUAACUGAUUGAUUAUCAAAACUGUUUUCCACAAAUUGUAUGCCAAUUGACUAAUUGGUUAAUACAUCGCUAUAGCACUAUAAUCCUUUUAAAUCAGUUGUAAUGUAACUCAGAAAGUCAGAUUUUCUUGUGCAGUUAAAAAUAUGUAGGCUACAGCUCUUAUUAUCUAAAUAUUUUGUUCACGCCAUUUGAUUGUCCUAACUCCCCUUUGUUUGGAUUAAACAACCAAAUGACAAAGCCUUAAUUCAGGAGCUGAGAAACGUGCCCAUACGACAUGAAAACACUGUCUUGGAGAUAUUCUGUCACUGCGGAAGUAGAGUGAAUACAGUCUGGCAUAUGAACACCAUCCAUCAGUUAUUGGUUCCACUGGUGUAGAGUAGACCUGACCAAUAUCAGAUGGCAGUGUAGUGGUGACACACUGAGCGACACCUGGCUGGCACACGUUUGGGAGGCACACUGUUGUCAAAAAUGUCUCGGAUGUUUUCACAAUUAUCUCGUGAGUGAAAGGGUUGGUCUUCAUUCAGCCUGAAAGUCUGAGAACGUGAAUCAGGGUGGGCUUCUUUUUCAUCUGUCCUAAAAAGAAACUAGUUCUUGUUUCUUCCUGCUUCCUCUGCUACUUUCCCCUGCAGUAUUUUGGCUGCAGCCUAAAAGGCCUUCUGGGCUAAUUGUAUAUUGAGUGGGAUCACUUUACCUCUGUGCCCCGCACUUCAGCCUCCACACUGCUCUUGUCACUGGCAGCCUCACUGUAACAAUCUCCAUUUUAAAGCGGCAGGGUCAAUUUCCACCCUGCUCUCGCAUCUGGCUCCACAGUUUAAUUGCUAAUGCAUCUCCUGUUUCUCCUGCUCCAACGUCUGGGCUUGUCUUUCCACGCCCCCGUCCGGUGUCCAGUCUUACUCCUCCUCUUUAAAUCUUUGCCUUUCCUUUCACAUUAAGUUGCCCCUCCUUCCUCUGUUGCCUUUUCAGCCUUGUGUAAUGAAUAACAUUCUUCCUUCUGACAGGAGAACAAAAGCUGUGGGGUGUUUGAUUCACUUGUGAACUGUGUAGACUGUUAUUCAAUUCCUGCUUAAGUAUUAAUAAAGGCUUUACACGCCAGGGGGAGGUCACAAGGUGCAAGUGUAUGCUUGUGUAUCUUGCAUGUAUACGCAUGUGUGUGUGCAGGAGCUAGUUUGUGGGCUGCUCAUUUUUCCUGUGAUGAUCAUGAGAAGAGGGGGACUGUAAAGACUCUGGUAACUGAUGACUGUCUUAUAUAACUCAAGUAAUAAGGAACCUCAGAGGGAACCAAGACGAAGAUGCUAUGAAAGCUCUUCAAAGGUUUGGAUGGGUGGUGGAAGGACUCUGCAGCAGCAAACACCUGGGUCACUGCUGACAGUGUAGAAUGUCAUCACCAUCAUCUCAAGAGCACAUGUGCACACGCCUGUCCUAUUCCUAAAGUGCUGAACUGACAAGGAGAAGAAACAGUUAAAGAAGGAUCAGCAGUCAUCAUCGCCCACAUGGACCAGGCUUCUCACCCUGCGACACAGUUUGAGGUGGACGUGGACCUGGGCUUCGCUCUCUUCUUCCUCUUCCUCCUGUGUUUCUUCCUGCUGGUGACGGUGGUGCGCUGUGCCCAGACUGUAGUGGAUCCUUAUGGCUCCAUCUCCACCUCCACCUACCAGGAGGAGCAGAUCACCUGAGAGAGAGGAGGGGGAAAUCCAUCACCAACAGGACUCUGUAGGACUCUAGGAAAUUAAGAUACACUCUCACUGCUGUAUAAGAAUAUAUUUUUAGACAAGUCCGGCCACUUCUGAACAAAAAGGAAUCAUUAUUACACUCUCAUUGAAGUCAGAAGAUACGUAUCAGGUUGUGUUUGAGUGUUUCUGACUUGAAUGCUUUCAAAUAACCCUCGGGCGGAUUACUGAAUGGACCUACUGAGCACACUCCCAGGGGCCAGAGGCAUCAAGAGGCCUGACACAGACCUUCUGUUUAAAGUGUUAACAACAGGAACAACAAGAGCUCAGUCGAAAAUAGCAAUGUUCUUAUCACAUUUAUUUGCUCCUGAUAAUGAUCUGAGUCUGUGAAUAUUAAGCAUCUGCCAAUUUUAGGAGCAAUCGUGUAUUUAUUUUUAGUAUAUGUUUAUUUUCCCCCCUACUGUCGAUAAUACAGCUUCAUGGUGCAAAUGUAGCAAUAAUCCUAUAUUCCUACAUAAAAAUGUGUAAGUAAUUUAUGCCUCUGUGACCAGGGGCCUAUCGUCUCAUAAUCUGUCCAUGAAACAGCCUGUUAAUGCAGCAGCUAUUACCAGAUGUGUUUCUCUGAAGAGACAUGACUCAUCCUCCUCAGUACUACAUUGAUCUGUGCAGCUAUCCUGCAAAGCUUUGGGGAUGAGGAAUCCUACAGAUCCUCUUCCUGAGAGGAAAUAUUGGGACUGCAGUGCUCAGACAAAGCAUUCAGCUCAACUCUCCUUGCUCAUGGAAUGAACCAUUAACAAAUGACAUUGCUUUUAUUAUUUUGUACAAUAAACUAUGUGCAUGUGAUGUA